GGCGCGUUGGCAGAAUGGUUAUGUACCGGAUUGCAAAUCCGUUUAAUCUCGGUUCGACUCCGGGACGCGUCU
rnacentral:tRNA from 1 species